rnacentral:rRNA from 1 species
AACGAACGCUGGCGGCAGGCUUAACACAUGCAAGUCGAGCGCCCCGCAAGGGGAGCGGCAGACGGGUGAGUAACGCGUGGGAAUCUACCCAUCUCUACGGAAUAACGCAUGGAAACGUGUGCUAAUACCGUAUACGUCCUUCGGGAGAAAGAUUUAUCGGAGAUGGAUGAGCCCGCGUUGGAUUAGCUAGUUGGUGGGGUAAAGGCCUACCAAGGCGACGAUCCAUAGCUGGUCUGAGAGGAUGAUCAGCCGCACUGGGACUGAGACACGGCCCAGACUCCUACGGGAGGCAGCAGUGGGGAAUAUUGGACAAUGGGCGCAAGCCUGAUCCAGCCAUGCCGCGUGAGUGAUGAAGGCCCUGGGGUUGUAAAGCUCUUUCACCGGUGAAGAUAAUGACGGUAACCGGAGAAGAAGCCCCGGCUAACUUCGUGCCAGCAGCCGCCGCAGUAA